ACGGGUGAGUAAUGCCUAGGAAUCUGCCUGGUAGUGGGGGAUAACGUUCGGAAACGGACGCUAAUACCGCAUACGUCCUACGGGAGAAAGCAGGGGACCUUCGGGCCUUGCGCUAUCAGAUGAGCCUAGGUCGGAUUAGCUAGUUGGUGAGGUAAUGGCUCACCAAGGCGACGAUCCGUAACUGGUCUGAGAGGAUGAUCAGUCACACUGGAACUGAGACACGGUCCAGACUCCUACGGGAGGCAGCAGUGGGGAAUAUUGGACAAUGGGCGAAAGCCUGAUCCAGCCAUGCCGCGUGUGUGAAGAAGGUCUUCGGAUUGUAAAGCACUUUAAGUUGGGAGGAAGGGCAGUUACCUAAUACGUGAUUGUUUUGACGUUACCGACAGAAUAAGCACCGGCUAACUCUGUGCCAGCAGCCGCGGUAAUACAGAGGGUGCAAGCGUUAAUCGGAAUUACUGGGCGUAAAGCGCGCGUAGGUGGUUAGUUAAGUUGGAUGUGAAAUCCCCGGGCUCAACCUGGGAACUGCAUUCAAAACUGACUGACUAGAGUAUGGUAGAGGGUGGUGGAAUUUCCUGU
rnacentral:rRNA from 1 species